rnacentral:lncRNA from 1 species
UCUCCAUUUCAUACACAAAGAACGGAGCUUCACAGUGGUUAAGUAACUUGGCUGAACUUACACCAGCAUGAAGAUUCAAAUUCCAGUCCAAAACUUAUGGAAAUAUCUAUUAGAGAAGCCUGUAUUAGUUCUCUACCAGAUAUAUUUUCCUAGAUUCAGAAAAGCCUGAAUUUGCAAAAAGUUUGUUUCGAUCAUCAUAGGCAAGGUGAAAUAGAAAGUCGAAGAAAUCAUCUCGGUCAUUACGAGUCCUCAAGUAGUUGCUUUUUGUACUUUGAAUAAAGACUUUAGUCAUAGUAGGAGAGAUAGACUGUAAUGGACUUACUUCACGAUGGCUGCACCAGAGGUUCCAAGAACGAUGGCUUUCAACUUCAACCCACAUCUAAAACACACCACUGUAGCCACACCCUACACCCUGUGGUUAUCCAGUUGUGAGUCCUAUUGGAGAGAUGAGGUGUAUGACAGUUUCCUGGAGGGGGUCAUAUGGAUCUACUACUACCUUCCCACUGACAUUAGGCAGAUGUUCAUUAGAUUGGUUUGAUAGAUGUAAUGGUUAAUAUUGAGUGUCAACUUGAUUGGAUUGAAGGAUGCAAAGUAUUGU